rnacentral:rRNA from 1 species
AUGGCUCACCAAGGCUACGAUGGGUAGGGGUUCUUAGUGGAAAGUCCCCCACACUGGCACUGAGAUACGGGCCAGACUCCUACGGGAGGCAGCAGUAGGGAAUAUUGGUCAAUGGGCGCAAGCCUGAACCAGCCAUGCCGCGUGCAGGAUGAAGGCUCUCUGAGUUGUAAACUGCUUUUGUACAGGAGCAAAACAAUCUCUGCGGGGAUCCUUGAGCGUACUGUAAGAAUAAGCACCGGCUAAUUCCGUGCCAGCAGCCGCGGUAAUACGGAAGGUGCAAGCGUUAUCCGGUUUUAUUGGGUUUAAAGGGUGCGUAGGCGGCUUAUUAAGUCAGUUGUGAAAUCCUAGUGCUUAACGCUAGAACUGCGAUUGAUACUAGUAGGCUUGAGUUAAGAAGAGGUAAGCAGAAUUUAUGGUGUAGUAGUGAAAUGCUUAGAUAUCAUAAGGAAUACCAAUAGCGUAGGCAGCUUACUGGUCUUUAACUGACGCUGAGGCACGAAAGCGUGGGGAGCAAACAGGAUUAGAUACCCUGGUAGUCCACGCCGUAAACGAUGAUCACUCGAUAUACAAUGAACUUUCUGUGUGUCUAAGCGAAAGCGUUAAGUGAUCCACCUGGGGAGUAUACCCGCAAGGGUGAAACUCAAAGGAAUUGACGGGGGUCCGCACAAGCGGUGGAGUAUGUGGUUUAAUUCGAUAAUACGCGAGGAACCUUACCUGGGCUAGAAUGUAUUUUGCUACCUUAAGAAAUUGAGGGUUCCUUCGGGACGGAAUACAAGGUGCUGCAUGGCUGUCGUCAGCUCGUGCCGUGAGGUGUUGGGUUAAGUCCUAUAACGAGCGAAACCCUUUUACUUAAUUGCCAGCACGUAAUGGUGGGGACUUUAAGUAGACUGCCCGUGUAAGCGGGAGGAAGGAGAGGACGAGGUCAAGUCAUCAUGGCCUUUAUGCCCAGGGCUACACACGUACUACAAUGGCAUGUACAAAGGGAAGCUACUUGGUAACAAGAUGCAAAUCUCAAAAGCAUGUCUCAGUUCGGAUUGAGGUCUGCAAUUCGGCCUCAUGAAGUUGGAAUCGCUAGUAAUCG